rnacentral:rRNA from 1 species
CUUUAUUGGAGAGUUUGAUCCUGGCUCAGGAUGAACGCUGGCGGCGUGCCUAAUACAUGCAAGUCGAGCGAAUGGAUUAAGAGCUUGCUCUUAUGAAGUUAGCGGCGGACG